rnacentral:rRNA from 1 species
UUGAACGCUGGCGGCAGGCCUAACACAUGCAAGUCGAGCGGUAACACAGAGAGCUUGCUCUCGGGUGACGAGCGGCGGACGGGUGAGUAAUGUCUGGGAAACUGCCUGAUGGAGGGGGAUAACUACUGGAAACGGUAGCUAAUACCGCAUAACGUCGCAAGACCAAAGUGGGGGACCUUCGGGCCUCAUGCCAUCAGAUGUGCCCAGAUGGGAUUAGCUAGUAGGUGGGGUAACGGCUCACCUAGGCGACGAUCCCUAGCUGGUCUGAGAGGAUGACCAGCCACACUGGAACUGAGACACGGUCCAGACUCCUACGGGAGGCAGCAGUGGGGAAUAUUGCACAAUGGGCGCAAGCCUGAUGCAGCCAUGCCGCGUGUGUGAAGAAGGCCUUCGGGUUGUAAAGCACUUUCAGCGGGGAGGAAGGCGGUGAGGUUAAUAACCUCAUCGAUUGACGUUACCCGCAGAAGAAGCACCGGCUAACUCCGUGCCAGCAGCCGCGGUAAUACGGAGGGUGCAAGCGUUAAUCGGAAUUACUGGGCGUAAAGCGCACGCAGGCGGUCUGUCAAGUCGGAUGUGAAAUCCCCGGGCUCAACCUGGGAACUGCAUUCGAAACUGGCAGGCUAGAGUCUUGUAGAGGGGGGUAGAAUUCCAGGUGUAGCGGUGAAAUGCGUAGAGAUCUGGAGGAAUACCGGUGGCGAAGGCGGCCCCCUGGACAAAGACUGACGCUCAGGUGCGAAAGCGUGGGGAGCAAACAGGAUUAGAUACCCUGGUAGUCCACGCCGUAAACGAUGUCGAUUUGGAGGUUGUGCCCUUGAGGCGUGGCUUCCGGAGCUAACGCGUUAAAUCGACCGCCUGGGGAGUACGGCCGCAAGGUUAAAACUCAAAUGAAUUGACGGGGGCCCGCACAAGCGGUGGAGCAUGUGGUUUAAUUCGAUGCAACGCGAAGAACCUUACCUGGUCUUGACAUCCACAGAACUUUCCAGAGAUGGAUUGGUGCCUUCGGGAACUGUGAGACAGGUGCUGCAUGGCUGUCGUCAGCUCGUGUUGUGAAAUGUUGGGUUAAGUCCCGCAACGAGCGCAACCCUUAUCCUUUGUUGCCAGCGGUCCGGCCGGGAACUCAAAGGAGACUGCCAGUGAUAAACUGGAGGAAGGUGGGGAUGACGUCAAGUCAUCAUGGCCCUUACGACCAGGGCUACACACGUGCUACAAUGGCAUAUACAAAGAGAAGCGACCUCGCGAGAGCAAGCGGACCUCAUAAAGUAUGUCGUAGUCCGGAUUGGAGUCUGCAACUCGACUCCAUGAAGUCGGAAUCGCUAGUAAUCGUAGAUCAGAAUGCUACGGUGAAUACGUUCCCGGGCCUUGUACACACCGCCCGUCACACCAUGGGAGUGGGUUGCAAAAGAAGUAGGUAGCUUAACCUUCGGGAGGGCGCUUACCACUUUGUGAUUCAUGACUGGGGUG